rnacentral:rRNA from 1 species
UACGUAGGGUGCGAGCGUUGUCCGGAAUUAUUGGGCGUAAAGAGCUCGUAGGCGGCUCGUUGCGUCGGCUGUGAAAACCCGCAGCUCAACUGUGGGCUUGCAGCCGAUACGGGCGGGCUGGAGUUCGGUAGGGGAGACUGGAAUUCCUGGUGUAGCGGUGAAAUGCGCAGAUAUCAGGAGGAACACCGGUGGCGAAGGCGGGUCUCUGGGCCGAUACUGACGCUGAGGAGCGAAAGCCAGGGGAGCGAACGGG